rnacentral:rRNA from 1 species
ACGAACGCUGGCGGCGUGGAUAAGACAUGCAAGUCGAACGGGAGAAUUGCUAGCUUGCUAAUAAUUCUCUAGUGGCGCACGGGUGAGUAACACGUGAGUAACCUGCCUCUUAGUGGGGGAUAGCCCUGGGAAACCGGGAUUAAUACCGCAUACGAUUGAAAGAUCAAAGCAGCAAUGCGCUAGGAGAUGGGCUCGCGGCCUAUUAGUUAGUUGGUGAGGUAACGGCUCACCAAGGCGAUGACGGGUAGCCGGUCUGAGAGGAUGUCCGGCCACACUGGAACUGAGACACGGUCCAGACACCUACGGGUGGCAGCAGUCGAGAAUCAUUCACAAUGGGGGCAACCCUGAUGGUGCGACGCCGCGUGGGGGAAUGAAGGUCUUCGGAUUGUAAACCCCUGUCAUGUGGGAGCAAAUUAAAAAGAUAGUACCACAAGAGGAAGAGACGGCUAACUCUGCGCCAGCAGCCGCGGUAAUACAGAGGUCUCAAGCGUUGUUCGGAAUCACUGGGCGUAAAGCGUGCGUAGGCUGUUUCGUAAGUCGUGUGUGAAAGGCAGGGGCUCAACCCCUGGAUUGCACAUGAUACUGCGAGACUAGAGUAAUGGAGGGGGAACCGGAACUCUCGGUGUAGCAGUGAAAUGCGUAGAUAUCGAGAGGAACACUCGUGGCGAAGGCGGGUUCCUGGACAUUAACUGACGCUGAGGCACGAAGGCCAGGGGAGCGAAAGGGAUUAGAUACCCCUGUAGUCCUGGCAGUAAACGGUGCACGCUUGGUGUGCGGGGAAUCGACCCCCUGCGUGCCGGAGCUAACGCGUUAAGCGUGCCGCCUGGGGAGUACGGUCGCAAGAUUAAAACUCAAAGAAAUUGACGGGGACCCGCACAAGCGGUGGAGUAUGUGGCUUAAUUCGAUGCAACGCGAAGAACCUUACCUGGGCUUGACAUGUAAUGAACAACAUGUGAAAGCAUGCGACUCUUCGGAGGCGUUACACAGGUGCUGCAUGGCCGUCGUCAGCUCGUGUCGUGAGAUGUUUGGUUAAGUCCAGCAACGAGCGCAACCCCUGUUGCCAGUUACCAGCACGUCAAGGUGGGGACUCUGGCGAGACUGCCCAGAUCAACUGGGAGGAAGGUGGGGACGACGUCAGGUCAGUAUGGCCCUUAUGCCCAGGGCUGCACACGUACUACAAUGCCCAGUACAGAGGGGGCCGAAGCCGCGAGGCGGAGGAAAUCCUGAAAACUGGGCCCAGUUCGGACUGUAGGCUGCAACCCGCCUACACGAAGCCGGAAUCGCUAGUAAUGGCGCAUCAGCUACGGCGCCGUGAAUACGUUCCCGGGUCUUGUACACACCGCCCGUCACAUCAUGGAAGCCGGUCGCACCCGAAGUAUCUGAAGCCAACCGCAAGGAGGCAGGGUCCUAAGGUGAGACUGGUAACUGGG